ensembl:ncRNA ZK381.37 ncRNA
AAAUGCAUUAACAACAUGUAGUACAAGAUAUUUUUCACUGUUUCAGAAACAAAUAAAAUUAAUCGUCCAAAUUCUUCAUUUUAUUGUUAGGACAGUCUCCACAAAAUAUACUCCCCGCCGUCUCGAGCAGGUGUUUUUAAUGAAAGCAAAAAAGUAUUUAUAUGGACUAGAUUACAAGAUAAGUAGCAACAUUAUACGGUCAAGUGCAUCCU